rnacentral:lncRNA from 1 species
AGGCUAAAGGAGAUGAAGGACAACUCGAAAAAGACAGAAGACUUCACCUGAAACUCAAAAGGGAAGAUGAGGAAGGAAGAAUCUUCAGACACUGGAAUGAUCCUCUAGCAGAGCUUCCACAACAAAAGAGACAAAUGAAAAGUAAAAGUUGACUGAAAGUGACCCUAUAUAUAGGAUCCCUCAAUGGGCAGGAUCGAAGUACUCAAACCAAAAUCUUGCUAGAUAUUGACACUUGGCGACAUCUGGACCAACCAU